GUGAGUCAUCGAAUCUUUGAACGCACAUUGCGCCCUUUAGUAUUCUGAAGGGCAUGCCUGUUCGAGCGUCAUUAUCAGUAAUCAAGCCUGGCUUGCUGUUGGACCUCUUGUCGUUAAUACGACAGGCCCUAAAAAUAAUGACGGUGUUAUUUGGACCCUAGACGCAACGAGCUUUAACCAGCACGCGUUUAGUUGGACCCUUUAAUCCGGUCUUCUUUAACCAAUUUUCUAAGGUUGACCUCGGAUCAGGUAGGAAUACCCGCUGAACUUAAGCAUAUCAAUAAGCGGAGGA
rnacentral:misc_RNA from 1 species